GAUGAACGCUGGCGGCGUGCCUAAUACAUGCAAGUCGAGCGAACAGACGAGGAUCUUGCUCCUCUGACGUUAGCGGCGGACGUGUGAAUAACACGUGGAUAACCUACCUAUAAGACUGGUAUAACUUCGGGAAACCGGAGCUAAUACCGGAUAAUAUAGUGAACGCCAUGGGGCAAUAGUGAAAGGUGGUUUUGCUGUCGCUUAUAGAUGGAUCCUCUCCGCAUUAGCUAGUUGUGAAGGUAAAGGCUUACCAAGGCGACGAUGCGUAGCCGACCUGAGAGGGUGAUCGGCCACACUGGAACUGAGACACGGUCCAGACUCCUACGGGAGGCAGCAGUAGGGAAUCUUCCGCAAUGGGCGAAAGCCUGACGGAGCAACGCCGCGUGAGUGAUGAGGGUCUUCGGAUCGUAAAACUCUGUUAUUAGGGAAGAACAAAUGUGUAAGUAACUAUGCACGUCUUGACGGUACCUAAUCAGAAAGCCACGGCUAACUACGUG
rnacentral:rRNA from 1 species